rnacentral:RNase_P_RNA from 1 species
AUAGUCAUCCGGGUGGCCGCGGGGCGACAGCCUCGAGGAAAGUCCGGACUCCACAGGGCAGGGUGCUGGAUAACGUCCAGGCGAGGCGACCCGACGGAAAGCGCCACAGAAAAGAAAAGACCCGCCGCGCAAGCGGAAGGUUAAGCUGAAACGGUGGUGUAAGAGACCACCAGCGGCCAGGUGACUGGCCGGCUUGGCAAGCCCCACCCGGAGCGAUGCCGAAUAGGGGAGGAGCGGUGGCCCGCCGCGUUUCGACUCCCGGGUUGGCAGCACGAGGCCCGUGGCAACGCGGGUCCCAGAUAGAUGGCCACCACCGCGCUCGCGGUACAGAAUCCGGCUUACACGGUGGCUAUCCCC